GAUGAACGCUGGCGGCGUGCUUAAUACAUGCAAGUCGAGCGAACAGACGAGGCGCUUGCUCCUCUGACGUUAGCGGAGGACGGGUGUGUAACACGUGGAUAACCUACUUAUAUGACUGGGAUAACUUCGGGAAACCGGAGCUAAUACCGGAUAAUAUAUUGAACCGCAUGGUUCAAUAGUGAAAGACGGUUUUGCUGUCUCUUAUAGAUGCAUCCGCGCCGAAUUAGCUAGUUGGUAAGGUAACGGCUUACCAAGGCGACGAUGCGUAGCCGACCGGAGAGGCGGGUAGGCGGCCCUGGAGCUGGAACGCGGACCAGGGGACUGAGGGAGGCAGCAGUAGGGAAUCGUACGCAGUGGGCGAGAGCCUGGCGGAGCAACGCCGCGUGAGUGAUAAAGGUCUUCGGAGCGUAAAGCUGUGUUAUGGGGGAAAAACAGAUGUGUAAGUAGCUAAGCACGUCUUGACGGUACCUGAUCAGAAAGCAACGGCUAACUACGUG
rnacentral:rRNA from 1 species